rnacentral:rRNA from 1 species
GACGAACGCUGGCGGCGUGCUUAACACAUGCAAGUCGAACGGAAAGGCCCUGCUUGCAGGGUGCUCGAGUGGCGAACGGGUGAGUAACACGUGGGUGAUCUGCCCCUUACUUUGGGAUAAGCCUGGGAAACUGGGUCUAAUACUGGAUAGGACCAUGCUGUAGGUGGUGUGGUGGAAAGAUUAGUUUCGGUAAGGGAUGAGCUCGCGGCCUAUCAGCUUGUUGGUGGGGUAAUGGCCUACCAAGGCGUCGACGGGUAGCCGGCCUGAGAGGGUGGACGGCCACAUUGGGACUGAGAUACGGCCCAGACUCCUAAGGGAGGCAGCAGUGGGGAAUAUUGCACAAUGGGCGCAAGCCUGAUGCAGCGACGCCGCGUGGGGGAUGACGGCCUUCGGGUUGUAAACUCCUUUCAGCCAUGACGAAGCCCUUGUGGUGACGGUAGUGGUAGAAGAAGCACCGGCUAACUACGUG